ACGGACCAUGGUCGGUUGUUGUUUCACGAUGUUGGAUGAAGAGGUUUGGGAACACAGUGAGGGUCAUAGCAGCAGUUCCAUCCCUUUAACAGGGGAGAGCAGCCACAGCACCACCAAGAGGCUGAAGCCCAAUGAAGCUCCUGCUGCAAGACCACAGGAGUCUUCUGGAUCAAGCUGCGUCAUACUGUGAAGAGCUGAAAGAUCUGCCCACUGACGGAAGGAGCAGAGGUGAUUUAGGAUGAAUGCAAUGUACAUCAACUAUAUACUGCUGCAUUUUUUACCAUAUGCCGAAGAAUAUGGUGCAAUGCAGGCUUAUUGCUUUUAAGCAUGUUUAAUGUUCACAUUUUAAAGAUUUUUAUACUGAGAUGUCUUACUAUUUAAAGUUUAAUUCAAUGGCGAAUUACUUGGUUAUCACUGGUAAUGGCCAAAAACUAACAAAAAAUACACAGACAUAAAAGCAUCAUGUAUAAUAACCGAAUAUUUAUUCAGUCACAGACUCUGAAUAUAUAUCACUAUAGUGCAGAACCAAAAAUUACCAUUUAUCACAUUUUUAAUAUGAAAAAAUUAGGUGCAAUAAGAUUUUUUGGUUUGCAUGAGAUUUUGCUCUGUUAUACACUGGAACAAAAGGGAAAACCUGCUUUUAUAUAUA